UACGUAGGGGGCAAGCGUUGUCCGGAAUCAUUGGGCGUAAAGAGCGUGUAGGCGGUUCGGUAAGUCGGCUGUGAAAGUCCAGGGCUCAACCCUGGGAUGCCGGUCGAUACUGCCGGACUAGAGUUCGGAAGAGGCGAGUGGAAUUCCCGGUGUAGCGGUGAAAUGCGCAGAUAUCGGGAGGAACACCUAUGGCGAAGGCAGCUCGCUGGGACGUUACUGACGCUCAUGCACGAAAGCGUGGGGAGCAAACAGG
rnacentral:rRNA from 1 species